rnacentral:rRNA from 1 species
UACGGAGGGUGCGAGCGUUGUCCGGAAUCACUGGGCGUAAAGGGCGCGUAGGCGGCCUGAUAAGUAGGGGGUGAAAUCCUGCGGCUUAACCGCAGGGCUGCCUUCUAAACUGUCAGGCUAGAGCACAGUAGAGGCAGGUGGAAUUCCCGGUGUAGCGGUGGAAUGCGUAGAGAUCGGGAAGAACAUCAGUGGCGAAGGCGGAUCUCUGGGCCGAUACUGACGCUGAGGAGCGAAAGCGUGGGGAGCGAACAGG